rnacentral:rRNA from 1 species
AUACGUAGGGUGCGAGCGUUGUCCGGAAUUACUGGGCGUAAAGAGCUCGUAGGUGGUUUGUCGCGUCGUCUGUGAAAUUCCGGGGCUUAACUCCGGGCGUGCAGGCGAUACGGGCAUAACUUGAGUACUGUAGGGGAGACUGGAAUUCCUGGUGUAGCGGGGAAAUGCGCAGAUAUCAGGAGGAACACCGGUGGCGAAGGCGGGUCUCUGGGCAGUAACUGACGCUGAGGAGCGAAAGCAUGGGUAGCGAACAGGAUUAGAUACCCUGGUAGUCCAUGCCGUAAACGGUGGGCGCUAGGUGUAGGGGUCUUCCACGACUUCUGUGCCGUAGCUAACGCAUUAAGCGCUCCGCCUGGGGAGUACGGCCGCAAGGCUAAAACUCAAAUGAAUUGACGGGG